rnacentral:rRNA from 1 species
GUGGGGAAUCUUAGACAAUGGGCGCAAGCCUGAUCUAGCCAUGCCGCGUGAGCGAUGAAGGCCUUAGGGUUGUAAAGCUCUUUCGUGGGGGAAGAUAAUGACUGUACCCCAAGAAGAAGCCCCGGCUAACUCCGUGCCAGCAGCCGCGGUAAUACGGAGGGGGCUAGCGUUGUUCGGAAUUACUGGGCGUAAAGCGCACGUAGGCGGACUGGAAAGUCAGGGGUGAAAUCCCGGGGCUCAACCCCGGAACUGCCUUUGAAACUCCCAGUCUGGAGUUCGAGAGAGGUGAGUGGAAUUCCGAGUGUAGAGGUGAAAUUCGUAGAUAUUCGGAGGAACACCAGUGGCGAAGGCGGCUCACUGGCUCGAUACUGACGCUGAGGUGCGAAAGCGUGGGGAGCAAACAGGAUUAGAAACCCCAGUAGUCC